rnacentral:rRNA from 1 species
GAUGAACGCUGGCGGCGUGCUUAACACAUGCAAGUCGAACGGAGUGCCUUAGAAAGAGGAUUCGUCCAAUUGAUAAGGUUACUUAGUGGCGGACGGGUGAGUAACGCGUGAGGAACCUACCUCGGAGUGGGGAAUAACAGACCGAAAGGCCUGCUAAUACCGCAUGAUGCAGUUGGACCGCAUGGUCCUGACUGCCAAAGAUUUAUCGCUCUGAGAUGGCCUCGCGUCUGAUUAGCUUGUUGGCGGGGUAAUGGCCCACCAAGGCGACGAUCAGUAGCCGGACUGAGAGGUUGGCCGGCCACAUUGGGACUGAGACACGGCCCAGACUCCUACGGGAGGCAGCAGUGGGGAAUAUUGGGCAAUGGGCGCAAGCCUGACCCAGCAACGCCGCGUGAAGGAAGAAGGCUUUCGGGUUGUAAACUUCUUUUCUCAGGGACGAACAAAUGACGGUACCUGAGGAAUAAGCCACGGC